GAUCAUGUCAGGAGGCGACGGGUUUCAAUUCGUUACACGACGGAGAAGGCAGACAAGUCGUCAAUUGGUGAAUCACGUCCUGAAUCAAGCCUCGAACUCUCGAGAACCCGAAAUAAACACCGAGCAUCUCCUUCGAAAAUUGUCGUGAUGAAUUCCAAUCUGACGCUGAUUCGGUCUCUGCUGAGGGAGAUAAGGGCGAUAUCAAGUGAGGGGAGGAUCAAGGAUAAUAUCGCUGUGCAAUACGUGAUGGAGCAGGCCAGAGCACACAGGGAGACAUCAGAGACCCUGUGUAAGGCUCGCGAGGAGAUGAAACACUUGGCGGAGACGUACAAUUGUUAUUUGUCGUCAUUGAGGAAUUACAAGCAGAUUAGUGCAGAUUAUGCUGGGGCUGGAGAAAGGAGUGUAAGGGAGACAGCUGAUUUAGUUGGCUUCAAGCUUCCACAUGAUCCCAAGUGAACUAGACCAAGUGAACUAGUUACCUAUUGUUCCAUUAGAGUGAAACGAAAGCUGAGGAUUUAGAACGAAGAAAUUCAUUAAAAAGCAUUUCAACAUAAUAAUUUCAAUGUUCGUGCUUAAAGAGUAUGCCUGUGAGAUAUAUUGGAGAUGAAUAUUACCAAAAGAAUUAAAUGAUUCAACUUGAUAAGGAGAAUGAAAAAAUUCCAAUAGAUUACGUAAAAAAACUUCAUCUUUUAUUCGUGGCAAAAUGUUUGAUAAAAAAAAGAAGUACAAAACUAAUACCAUGUUCACAAUUACGAAUACUCCUUCCUGAGAUACUUUGCGAUCGUUGACAGCUGCAUGUUGCUGGUGCCCUCGUAAAUUGUACCAAUUUUGCAGUCUCUAAAAUACUUCUCUUGAGGAAAAUCUGUCGUGAAUCCAACGCCACCCAUAAAAUCUAUGCACUUGGCUGUCACUUUCAGGGCAGUCUCUGUGGAAAAGGAAUAAAUUAUUCGCAAUAAUUGAAGGAUUUUAUUCAAUUAUGAGUGGGUACCUGAAGCUACAAGCUUCGCCAUAGCUGCGUCUUUCGUGAAUUCUUGUUUUGCCUCUACUUUUCGAGCUGCGUUGUACACCAGAAGUCUUGCUGCGUGGAGUUCAGUGGCUACCUGAGCUAUUUGAUGUUGCAUGGACUGAAAUGGUGAAAAAGUUGUUCAUUUUCAUUCGUGAAUUCAUGCUUUUGAAUUUAAUUGUUGAGUUUCUGCUUGACUUCUACUUUAUUAAGUGUUUUCUUGGUCUAAAGUUAUACCUAUAGUUGUACGUAGUACAGGUAUAAACGUUGGAGUUGUACGUAGUACAACUUCAACGUAGGUAUAACUUUAGACCAAGUACUCCAGUGACAAAACCAUUUAAUAAGUUAAAAAGAGAAUCUACUUAUUCAGAUCAUCACCUGGAAUGAGAAAAUAUCGUGUCCAAAUUGUUUCCUCUCGAGAGUGUAAGGAAUGGUCGCAUCAAGGGCGCCCUGAGCUAUCCCAAUCAUCUGUGCACCGAUGCCUAUCCUUCCCUCAUUGAGAAACCCAGCUGCAUAUUUGUAUCCCUUCCCAAACUCCCCUAGAAUGGAUUCUUCAGGUACCCGAACAUUUUCAAAGUGCACCAUGCAUGUCCCCGAUGCCUUGAUACCGAGUUUGUCUUCAGGUUUAGCCACAGUAACUCCGGGCAUAUCUCUAUCAACGAAGAAAGUUGUAAUUCCUUUGUAACCCUACGAACAAUAAUUUUCAUCGUUAAAUUCAAUAUUCAAUUAAAUUCUCUAUUACUCCGAAUCAUUACGGGAAUCUUAUGGACAAGUUUUUAUCAUUAUCGGUUUCUCAAACGAAUCAGUAUACGUUCUGAUAAUCCGACCUCUAGUAUUUCUAUCCACAUUAAAUCGCUCGUUGGCAAGAUAAGUUCAAUCGCGAUCGGGUAUUUUUAAUCGAUGUGAAAAAUUACCGCUGAUGGGUUUGCAUUGGCGAAGACGAUAAAAACUCCAGCGAUAUCAGAAUUGGAAAUCCACAUUUUAGAUCCAUUAAUGAUGUAGUGAGAUCCAUCUUUCUUGGCUUCUGUUUUGAGGGAAAAUGCGUCCGAACCAGCGCCUUGCUCUGUGAGACAAAAACUCCCAGCCUGUGGAUGAUUUUUUGUGUUCAACUAUAGGUUUUCCUUUAUUGUUAUUGAUAUGAGAAGAGAAUAAUGCGAAAUGGCGGAAUUGAUCUUUUAGAAUUCUAGUCAAUACAGAAAGUUAUAAUGAAAAUUUUGCUAUCUGCCUUACAUUUUAAUAUAUUCGAGAAUUUUUAACGAAAUUCCAAAAAGGAAUAGGCUUUCUUCCUGAAUAUUUUCCCUAUAUCAAUUGACCCCUCCACAUUUGUAGACAUUUGGCUCCAAAUUUUCAUUUCUUUCUAGUAGUAAUUACCAAUGAAGUUCACAUACUUCGUUAUCAGACUUGAACUGCCAUACAUAUGCCAUCCAAAUGAAUACUUACAAAUUCUUGCGCCAGUUUCGGCAAAUAUUUAGCCUUCUGUGCUUCAGUACCAACUUUAAUGAUAAGAGAAUUAACUAAAGUGUUGUGAAUGUCCACGAGAGCGGCUACGGCACCAUCUACUUUAGCUACUUCCUCCACUGUCAAAAUUGUUGUCAAGAAGUUACAUCCGGCUCCGCCAAGUUCACUUGGAAUCUCCAGUCCCAUCAACUGGUUUAACAAAAUUAUCGAUCAAUGAAAAUUGAUGCAGUAACGCAAUUUAUCAUAUUUUGUAACGUGCAAAGUCCAAUGGGUGCGUAACGUGCAUGAGCGCACGAAUAACAAGGUCGUUACGAGUGCGUAGUGACAUUAUUGUAUUUUGUAGUUGAGAUUAUUCACCUGUUGUUAUUAUUUUGAAGGUUUCCGUUAAAGCGGUAUUGGGUUCAUUGUAAAAUUUCGCGUACAUAAAUUCGAUUUAUGGACAUUAAAAGGCCUCUAAAAGUGAGCUUUUGGAUCAGGUAUUUCAAAAUAGAUUUUCUUCUUGAUUUACAGACAACUAACCAUUUUUCAUGGUUUUAAACUUUACCCCAUUGUCGAAUAGCUUCCUUAACAAUCCAUCGUCAAUCUUCCCCUCCUUUUCCAUCUUCUUGACCAGCGGUGCUAUCUCUUCCCUCGCCAAUUUAGCAACUGUAAACCACAUUUCAUAAUUAUUGUCCAAUGGUUAUCAAAAAAUAAGAAACAACAUUUGCAGCAAUUACCAGUCUCUUUCAUCAUAAUCUCAUCAUCGGUAAACUGGGUCAGAGGUCCUGGUGCGUGAUUUGAGGCUAUUGACGAGACGUGGAAUUUCUUCUUCGGGACAAUAUCCCGUGGGAUCUUGAAAAAGUCAUGAUUCAUCAUACCACUAUCGUUGUUGAUUAUAUAGUUUGGUGUAGUUAUUGAUUUAACUAUUUUCACAAAAUUUCAAUUGCCAAAGGAAAGUUCUGAUAUUCGACUCCACAAGUAGGCAAACAUUUUAUUGAAGACAUAGUAACUCACGUGCUUCGUUAUUUUUAACGACAAAAAAAAAAUUGCUGAACUCUUUAUUCUCUGUUGACUCAGGUGAAGGUCAACGAAAACCAGCCGAUUAAUUUGUCGCAUAUUAAACAAGAAGCAUAAUGAAACAUCAAACUGCCCAUAGAAACUGUUCCCUCGAGUAUUAUUCAAUGCCGAAUUAUGAAGACCAAAUGGUGCUCCACAAAAUGAAUUUCAACAGUAACAAUAUCCAUUUCCUGUCAAUAUGGCAGUGCUUGAACUACAUCAGAAUACAAUAGAAAAAUUUAAAUAAAUCACGGAAAUACUCACUUUGCCCAAUACCGUUCUGAUAGAAUUCAUGUUGGUUCCUCGGAGAUUUAAAAAAAUUGCAAGAAAUAUUGAAAUACACUAUUGCAAAUAACUGGAGAUCGAGCGCUUAAGUUUGGAAGUUGCCGGCCAGGCGACUCACUAGUGAUUAAUGUUCGGGACGCGCAAUGGAAAGCGACUGAUCAAGAAGUCACAAAACUGGUUGUUAUGUAAUAAGAACAAAAAGUGAGGCUGCUACAUUAAAAUAAUAAGACCUUUUGCGGGGGGAAAUCACUGGGUACCAGUGAUCGCAGUGGAGAGUUGUUGAAGUGGAGCUCAACAUCGUGACAUGUACUUCUAGUCAUUAAAAUCUACAAAAAUUAUCACUUCUUAUCGCUGUUGUUUGCGGACUCGGGUGGGAUAAUUUGUUUGAGACGUUCAUAUGCGGAAUAAAGAAAAGAGAAUUAUCAGUGGAAUGAGUAGCGACUCACAUUCUUGCGAAAUAAACUGAUAUUCUCGUUGGCUCGAUAGUUCCCGGGGCAAUUAGUUGAUGUUUAUUCAUUUCGAUGUUUGCUUUGGCAGACGGAACAUAGAAAUGCGAACGUCAGGAAUUUUGAAAAUGCAGGGUAAAUAAUUGUGGGUUAACAGGGUCAAAGGCAGCUGACUCUUCAGAGUCGGGGGUGCUCACUGGGGAUUCUUUUCAAAGAUAAUUUGAGAAUAGCGGAUUAAAAAUCUAACCGACAGGAAUCGAGAAGUUUUAUCCAACCAUCAUUGGCUUGACAAAUUUUAAAGAUAUUCAAGGAACCAUUUAGUGCAAAUUCAAAAUGAUUAAGGAUUUUUCAUCCUCGUGCUGCUGAAUUCUGGAAUUUUAUUGAAUUUUUAGUGAAACCCGAAAUGUCAUGAUUUUUAAGAAUCUAUUCAGAACUAUCCCGCAAGUUGCAUUUUCUUUUCCAACAGUAUAGAAGAUUAAAUUAGUAAUUGAAUGUGUUAUCUGCGUAUGCACUCAUUAAACGCUAAAAAUCUUAUGAACAAAUACCAGGAAAUUAUAAUAUUAUGCAAGGGCAUAUUCGUUCCGCCCAUUGCUCAAUAUCUCACUCUUCCAUGACGUCCCUGAUCAAUUUUACAUCGUUAAACUUUGAUCCGUGUCAAUGAGGGUACAGUUUCCACAUCUGAUUGUAAUAUUGAUUCUACCCCAAUAUCAAGAGCAAAGUUAUCAAGGCGAGAUUUCGCUCCUCGGAUUAAAUUACUGUUUUCCCAGAAAUAACGAAUAUUUUCAAGUGCUAGAUAAUCUCUCACUAUCCCCAAAAGAAGUGGUGAUCGUCAAUCAGAUAUUUACUGGCCGUUAUAGUUACUAGGGGAAAAGCAUAAGAGAUUGGGAACAAUAUCUUCAUAAAGGUAUCCUUAUAAAAUAAUUCCUGUGUCAUUCAGAUUAUUUACUGAGUCACAAUUUGUUUUUUUCCCAUUUGCUUUUUUCAAUCAACGAUUUCAAGGAAAUAUAUUUCUGGUAAUGAAUAAUCUAAUGAUAAAUAUUUUGCUGUGCUCAAUAAACGUCAAAAUAUCAGUGACAUAGUUUUUACUAUAUUCACCGAUUUAUAACUUUCUUAUCAUGAUUUCUGGAGUUAUAAACUCACGAGAAAUAAAGCCACGUUGUACUGCAGUACAACUUGCUGAAGUGAACGAUAGUUGAAUAUUAAUCAAAUAAUGUUUUAUUUUCACAAUGAGGGAUCGUUAUCAGGCUGUCAUCAUUAUUUUAUUUCUUCCAACUAUUUAUUUGCUUAACAGUUCCAUUUUUUCAAAAUCAUAUUUCGCCAAUUGAGUUAUUGUGAGUAGACAUUCAUUAAGUUUCAAUUAUGAUCAUCAUGUUUAAUUGCUCUAUAGAGAAUAUCCUAUGAACUCCUUCAACUAUUAUUAAUUUUUCCUAAAGUUAAUCUUUCUUAAAGAGAUAAGUAAGUCUAUUUACACGUUAAAAUUUUUUAAUUGUAUAAAUUGUAAUUUUCAUUUAACAAUCUCCAUCAAAUGUCGUCGGAAUUUCGACACCAAUUGAAACGUUUCUUAUGCUAUAAAUUUAUUUUAUUUUAUGUCAAUUUUAUGUAAAAAGAAAUAAAUGAAUGAUCUCGGA